rnacentral:rRNA from 1 species
AUUGAACGCUGGCGGCAGGCUUAACACAUGCAAGUCGAGCGGGGUGAUGGUGCUUGCACUAUCACUUAGCGGCGGACGGGUGAGUAAUGCUUAGGAAUCUGCCUAUUAGUGGGGGACAACAUCUCGAAAGGGAUGCUAAUACCGCAUACGUCCUACGGGAGAAAGCAGGGGAUCACUUGUGACCUUGCGCUAAUAGAUGAGCCUAAGUCGGAUUAGCUAGUUGGUGGGGUAAAGGCCUACCAAGGCGACGAUCUGUAGCGGGUCUGAGAGGAUGAGCCGCCAAACUGGGACUGAGACACGGCCCAGACUCCUACGGGAGGCAGCCGUGGGGAAUAUUGGACAAUGGGGGGAACCCUGAUCCAGCCAUGCCGCGUGUGUGAAGAAGGCCCUUGGGUCGUAAAGCUCUUUAGCGAGGGAAGAGGGUAGAUACGGUGAAUAAUCAUGUUUGCUGACGGUACCUCGAGAAUAAGCACCGGCUAAUUUCGUGCCAGCCGCCGCCGUAA